AUCAGACACGGUGUCAGCCGCCGCGGUAAUACGAAGGGUGCAAGCGUUACUCGGAAUUACUGGGCGUAAAGCGUGCGUAGGUGGUUUGUUAAGUCUGAUGUGAAAGCCCUGGGCUCAACCUGGGAAUGGCAUUGGAAACUGGCUGACUAGAGUGCGGUAGAGGGUAGUGGAAUUCCCGGUGUAGCAGUGAAAUGCGUAGAUAUCGGGAGGAACAUCUGUGGCGAAGGCGACUACCUGGACCAGCACUGACACUGAGGCACGAAAGCGUGGGGAGCAAACAGGAUUAGAUACCCUGGUAGUCCACGCCCUAAACGAUGCGAACUGGAUGUUGGGAGCAACUUGGCUCUCAGUAUCGAAGCUAACGCGUUAAGUUCGCCGCCUGGGAAGUACGGUCGCAAGACUGAAACUC
rnacentral:rRNA from 1 species